AUAUCAAUAAGCGGAGGAAAAGAAACCAACAGGGAUUGCCUCAGUAACGGCGAGUGAAGCGGCAACAGCUCAAAUUUGAAAUCUGGCGCUUUCAGCGUCCGAGUUGUAAUUUGUAGAGGAUGUUUCGGCCACGACCCGGGGAUAAAUUUCUUGGAACAGAAUGUCAUAGAGGGUGAGAACCCCGUCUUGACUCUGGUGUACGGGCCAUGUGGAACUCCUUCGACGAGUCGAGUUGUUUGGGAAUGCAGCUCAAAAUGGGUGGUAAAUUUCAUCUAAAGCUAAAUAUUGGCCAGAGACCGAUAGCGCACAAGUA
rnacentral:rRNA from 1 species